rnacentral:lncRNA from 1 species
CAUUUUGUAUCAGCUACCCAACCUUUUAAUUUGUUUGAUUUGAGAUAAUAUACGACACUUUCAAUUUACAAUUUAAACUAAUUAGUUACUAUAAUAAAUUUAUAAUUAUAAGAACGGCAUGAAAUAUACUAACUAAAUAUGUAAAAAUAAACAAUACAUUCAAAAUUUGAAUUCAACAUAUCGUAGACCGACAAAAAAUCAAAUGAAUUGAAAGGCUGGAUAGUAAAAUUAAAAUCUUGAAAUAUUGAAUGGCCAAAUUAUAAUAAUCCAUAAUUUUAAAUAAAUUGUAUAUAUUUAUCUGUACAGAUUUAAUUAGUAUUUUAUGCAACUCUUCCAAUUAUAAAUUUAUUAAAAUAAAUAAUUAGCUUAAAUUUUGAAGUCAAAAUAUAAUUGAUUAACUCAAAUCAAAUUAAUAAAAAAAAUUGAAUAGUAAAAUUAAAAUUUUGAAAGAUUGAAUAGCCAAAAUAAAAUAAUCAAUUGUUCAAAUAAAUUUUAGAUGAAUUCUAGUUGUAAAUCCCAAAAGUGGAGUGUAGAUCUUACAACUUCCAACGUAGCGUUCAAAAAAUUAAAAAAAGGCUGAUGUGACAAGUAAAGCAUUAAUGACACUUGAAUGGAACAGAUAUAAAAUAUGCAUCCUAUUUUGGAGCGUACCAAUAGUAUGAAUUAUACUACUGUACUAUCGAUAGUAUGAAACCCUUGUUGGCCAUUGGAUAAAAAAAUAUACGGUUAAGAUGAUAGUGGUCCCCUAGAGUUGAAUGGGUGGUUGGUUAAAUAGUAUAAUCUAACGGAUAGAAAUGAUCAAAGGGUAGAUUUAAUGCCAGAAAACUCGAUAGUAUCAAGAGCUCGAUACUAUCGAUAGUAUAGUAGUCAGAUUCCUAACAGUAUUGCUCUAAAUUUUAUACAUUUUUACAUUAUUAUUAUUAUAAUUAUUAUUAUUAUUACAAGUACUAU